CAGCCGUAAACUAUGCGCGUUAGGUGUACUGGUGACCACGAGUCACCGGGGUGCCGAAGGGAAACCGUGAAACGUGCCGCCUGGGAAGUACGGUCGCAAGGCUGAAACUUAAAGGAAUUGGCGGGGGGAGGCACCACAACGGGUGGAGCCUGCGGUUUAAUUGGACUCAACGCCGGAAAUCUCACCGGAUAGGACAGACAUAUGAUAGUCGGGCUGAAGACUCUACUUGAUGAUCUGAGAGGAGGUACAUGGCGUCAGUGA
rnacentral:rRNA from 1 species